AAUGACAAAAGUCGACAUUGAAACUAGUGUGGCACCAAACAAUGUAAGGUGUAUUUGUUGCUGUUUAUACGGCGGGACGUCGAGCAGUAUUGAAGCGUAACAUAUCGAGUGUAACAGAGUAAUUUUAAAAUAUUAAAGAUGUCAAAAAUUGAGGAAAUUACCGAGCCUGAAUUGGAGUAAUUGUCGCAGGAAAUAGAAAGAAAUGAUUAUUUCAGUUAUAUUUAAUAAAUAAUAAAACGACGUGUAUCGAAAAGGAAGUUGAAAAUAUAAAGGCGCUAACUGAUAUUAGUCAUAUUUUACCUCGUUUGGACUUGCGGUGUUUCGCAUUUAACACGAGAACGCGCACAUAAAAAUUUUGUCGUCAUUAACCGAUCGAUUUAUUUGUUGUGUCCGCUGUGUAAGAAAAAUAACGUACACACGAGACGUCUAACUGACGUGACGCUUUUUAAAUAUGAUAAACAUUGUGGUACAUUUAUUUCACUACAAAAAAAAAAAAACUUAAACGCUACUUGUCAGUUACGAUGUGGCUAUCAAUUUACAGUCAACUAUGAAAUUUAUUACUAUAUAGUAACAAUAAAAACAUGUUUGUUAGAAACAUUUUUCAUAAUAAUAGUUACAACACCUAAUAUUAGUCGGUUAAAAAUCAUGUAUAGGAUCAUGUGGCUUAUAUACAUGUGCCGCGCAUGACGAGCUUUGUUUCAUACUGACAAAAUCCGUCACUUUUACUGAAGGGGAAUCGCAGCUUACCUGUAGGCCUGGCAUUUAUUCGUAUUGACAACGUGGCAUAUCUGUAUGUAUGUAUGGCCUUCGGGUAAUCUACAUGAGAUCAUAUGCACGCAAAGGAUUCAAUGCCUUUACGUGAGGAAUUUGCUUAUUGGAAACUUAAUCAUAAUAUUUUACAUCAAAGAGGCUGAGUGAAUCCAACACAAAUAUUAUUAUAAUCUAAGUAUAUUGAUGCGUACAUUUAUUUUUUUAUUUCUAGUUGCAAGCACAAUAUAAUGUAUGCACGGUUAUUGAAGUUGUAACUGUAAUAAAAAAAACUGUGAAAAUGUAUCAGAAGAAGAAUAACAAGAUUUUUUUUGUGUACACAUCCGAAAAUAGGGAUGUCAUCAGCGGCCGAAAAACAUGAUUUCAAAAAUAUUGAAAAUUAUCACAUUUCCAGUUAUCCUAAAUGAGCUCCUCUAUUAGGCUUUGAUAAAAUUACAUUGCAGUUAUCACAGAUACGUUCUAAAUAUACAUUUAAGCCAUAUUGUGUACCUUGAAAGUAUUUAUACUCGAUUCUCACAAGGUGAAUUUAUUAUUUUAAAUUAAAGAAUAAAAAACUAAAACAAGUAUUUGAUGUAUUUAUAUGAACAUGCUAUACGUGCUCUUAAACUAUUCUAGGA